AUUUAGAGUGUUUAUUUGUCGUCAAGACAGCAUCUAUGCAAGUUUAUAUUCAACACAAAUAUACUGUCAUUGAUUCAAGGUAAUUGACCGACAGCAGUGCGACGGUAACAUAUGGCAUUACAUGAUGUAUUUAAUUGUUCCUUUUUAUAAAUAUGUGGGUGUCGUGUGUAUAUAUAGAUGUGUAUAUACACAUUUGUACAAUGCACUGCAUGGUGAGACUCAAACCCAAACCAACCUACAUAUUUGAGAAGCAAGCUUCUGAACUGCCCAGCCGUCUGCAUCAAACAUGUAUCUAAUACAAGCACUUGUAAUAUCCGCCAAACACAUUUGUUGUCCAUGGCUGUAUAAGGAAAUUAUUUGCUAGUUAUAACAGAGUAUGGUGCUAACCUGGCAUGAAAAUUUCUGAAGUGUAGUCUGGGUCAUUGAGGAGAUUUCAAGUGGACAUCUUAAGAAAACGAACGAUAAUAACACAAUGAAAUAGAAUAUAGCAAUGGAAGAGGAAGGCACGAACGGGGUGGAGGGGUUUGGUCACUAUUGCUACUACAAUCACCACCACCACCACUUCCACCGCUACUGCUGCUACUACUACCACCAUCACCACCACCGCCUGACGCUGACACCAUCAUUACUACCACCUGUAUCACCACUGUUACCACCACACCAACACCAUCACUUCCGACACCACCACCACCACCACUAUUCCCCGCCAACAGCACUGUCACUGCAGCCACCACUACCCACACCACCACUACCCACGCCACCACAUGCAACAACAAUUCUAAUGACAAUACACUGAAAGUUAAACAAUUUCUAUUUCUGCCACCUUCAGUUUGGCACCACCCAACACAUUUACUUCAGAUGUUAACUGAAAUGCUCAAAGAGAUGACAAUCCAAGAGACAAUUUACCCAGAAAACGAAAUAUUUCAACAAAGAAAGAAAACACAAAGGGAGAUGAGAAAGAAAGAAAGAAAGACAGAAGAGAAAGAAAUAAAGAAAGAGAGAAAGAAAGAAAACACAAAGAGAGAAGAGAAAGAAAGACAGAAAACACAAAAGAAAGAAAGAAGAGAAAGACAGAAGAGAAAGACAGAAGAGAAAGACAGAAGAGAAAGACAGAAGAGAAAGACAGAA